GCGCGUGAAAAAAUGUUGCAUUUUAAUGGAGGACACGGUCGACUUCCGAGCGGGGUGGAAGUCGAGAUUUAAUGACAAUUUUUGCCUUGUUACAGCAGAUGGCUGCACAGAAAGACAAACGACUCGCCGCGUUUGUUGAUUGACGUGCGACGUACCCACACAGGUAGGAGCUUAAAUUUGAAAUCGCUUUGCUGACGACUGGGUUGUCCAAUCAUCGGGAAGCGGGGGCGGGAUAUAACCCCGUCAAUCAUGCAGAAACUAUAAUGGUUUGAAUAAGGAGGGAGGGGGAGAAUCCAAUCCGGUUUGAGCUAGUUCUUCUGCCAAUGGAACAUUACCGUCGCGCUACGCUGUAUUAGACUGUACUGGUACAGCUUUAUCCAGAAUAUACCACUGUAUCUUUCUCCUGUAUUGAGCAACAUUUAGCUCUUUUUUCUUAAAAAAAAAAAAAACUCACCCCACACAAACCAGCCAUGCCUAAAAGGAGCAAAGUGAGUAGACCGACAUCUUUCAUGCAUUCAGUAAUACGGCGUUUAUAACCCCCAAAUGCAAUGUGUAAGUUACAGCCAGCGGUCCGAGUUGUUACAAAAUACGUUUUUUUUGUUCCAGAUGAGUGUGUACAAUGUCGCCGCUUGCAUUCAGGAGUUUAGUUGAUGUGCUUGUCUGUUUUGAUGUCGUAAAGUGGCUGGUUCUCGGUGCUACAUCUUGAGCAGUGAUUAUCUUUGUGCCGAGUGGUUUCCCCCCGUGUCGGAUUUUAUAUUUAUACUGCAAGAUGGUGAAAUCCAGUUACAAUUGCGUGUAAAUUACGUUAACUUGCAGCGUAGGACCAGGCAGGGACGUUUUCUCAGUCGACGGGCUGCUUUUUCUGCAUAGAAAGUUGGCGGCAUAUUGAUUGUUUCCUAUGGGGGUCGUCGCGCUGGCCACUAAAGUUUCUAAAACGCAUACUGAAAUUUAAAGGAUGUUAUUCGGUGGGUUUAAGGCUUUUACGCUAAGCCAGUGGUUAUCGCGUGGGAAACGAGUCCUUUAAAGGCUGUCUCGUGGAUCAAACUCGUUUUUUUAAACGAUAAUAUGCGAAUGGCGCUUCCCUAAAACCUAACAUGCAUGUGUUGUUUUUGUUAAUGAAUGGCCGCCCUUUUAUCAACGUUGAAAAAAAUGAAUUUCUUGGGAGGCGGUCGUCGUGUCCGCCGAGUGUCUUUAUGUGUAGUCGGCUCAGGCCAGUCGAAGGGUUAUGCAAUGGCGAGCCUCCGUCAGCAAAGCGCCUGCUCCUGUUGCUGGGGGUUCUAGUAGAAUCUGCUACCAGAUCGACGGAGUCGCCGCUGAGCGUCUCGUAGUGACUCUUUUCAAAUUCGUGGCGGGAGCCGCUCGCUGCACGGCUCGGUUUCGCUCCGUAAACUGGCAAUCCCGUUUUAUUACCAAUGAAUGGAUGCGCUCGCGGGGAGGCGGAGUUCCACAGCGCAGACAAAUCACAGGAGGCGCGAGAGCGCGACCUCAGGCCGCGGCCUAAACUACACUUUGCUGUGUGUAGAAUGCAGACUUCCAUUGCUGUUGCUGUGUAGACAAAUGUACUUCCGCAUUGAUUCGUUCUGCUGAGUGCCGAGUAUAAUGUGUAAUGGGCGUGAUUGAGAAGUGAGUCUUGCUCUUCCGUGGUUACCAGUCCUAUUGUUCCGAGAUUUAGAACAUAUCUCAGCCAAUCACAGCGGCCGGUCUGAGCUCAAUCAUGUAUGAAGCUCGCCGUACACCCAUAGGCCAAUGUUCUGUCGGGAAACGCCCACUUUUGAGUUACAUAACUAAUACUUAAAUCCCAUGACCUUCUACCCCCCAUCAACUCACCAUAGGCACAUUAAAAUGCAGAAAAAUGCUGUAACUGGAUUUCUUUGAUUGUUUUGUCUCUAACAGGCAGGGGGAGAAACAGUGGUAAGUAAUAAUUAAAGAUACUUGAUAUAACAUCUGAUCUUUUUUCUAUUAUAAAUAAAAACGUUAGUCUGUGCACCCACCAGAGGUCAGUAAGACCCCAUCUGUGAGUGCAAUUGACGGAUGUGUUGAAAAUAAUCACCUGUGUGUUUACCCUGUGCAGGCCAAGAGGAGAUCUCUCAGGUUGAGUGAAGUAAGUACAUUAAGCCCAUACCCUCAAUACGCAUAGCGCUAACUGCAUUCUUAAUGCUGACAAAUCUUCUUUUGUCCCCACAGAAACCUGCACCUUCAAAGGCAGAGGCCAAACCUAAGCCCAAGGUGGGAGUUUGUUUUCAUUACCUCUGGUUUUAGUCCUUUUUUAGACUGUUGCCCGUGUGACUAAUAGGUUGAAUAUUUAUGCGUUGCAGAAGGCACCUGCUAAGCCUAAAAAAGCCAAGGAGGUGGAGAAGGCAAAGCCCGAGGAGAAAGCACCAGAGGCCCCCGCUGAGAAUGGUGAAGCCAAAGCCGAGGAAGAGGCACCGGCCACAGAAGAAGCGGACGAAAAAGAUGAUGCGGCAGAAUAACAUCUCUCAAACCACGUCUUUGCCAGUGCUCCCUGUACCUCUUUUCUUGUACAAUUCAGGGGAAUAUUUUUAUCAACUAUUUUCUAAAUACAGGUUUUUUAGUAGUUUGAUUGUAGAGAACACUUUUUUUUAAUGAAAGAAAAAAAAGUCAAUUUGGAGACGGGAAUUUCGUCACAUCCCACAAUUUUGCAUCGCCACAAAAAAUCGCGGUUGUUGUUUCUGUCAGUGGAUUUCGUUUCAUUUUUAAAUGUGAAGAGGGCGGGGAGGGGUUGCAGGACAGGUUACUGUGUCGGCGCUUAAGCACAGCGUUCACAGCAGCUGGGGCAACAACCAGAGGAGCUUGUCCACGUGGAUUACAUUCCAUAUGCUUUAUAAGGGACAAUGUGUGUAAUCUGUGCGGGGUGGGAAUAGACAAAGUCACAGGGCAACUCAUUGUUUUAUUGUUCAUAAUGAAGAACUGUGUUUUAGAAUGUUUGUAAGCUUUGUUCCUAUAUGUUAUCUCUUGUACUCAUGCAGAUUUUCAAUGAAUCUGAUCAAUAAAGCUAAAAAUCCCUAGUACUCGAGCUCUCCUUAUCAAAACUGCAUCGCGUGUGUUGGUUGUGUCUCUGUUUCUGUGAUAGCAUCGCAAUAAAUUUGUAUAGCUGCUGUGAAAAAAAAGGUUUUCAAUCUUUCUAUAUGCAUUGUGUAAUGGUACAUAGUAAGGAUGGUAAAAAUGGAAUUUGUUUUCUUAGCCAGGAUAAUGAGGUGUGUAACCAUCAAAAACAAACUUGAGAUUGGCGUCUUUAAGGCCAACCGACAAACUGUACAUUUAUUUGAGAUGUCAAAUGCAUACCAGCAGUAGCAAUAUUAAUGUGGGUUUUAGAUAUCUGUAUCAAGUACACGUGUGCCGUUCAUUUUUAUUUGUUUAUAGAUGUACCUGUGUAAUGAUUGUUAUCAACAAACCAAUAAAACUCUGUUGGUAGUUGUUUCAUUCUGAGGCGUCGGUUUAUGAGCGAGGUUGCUGAAAGAUUGCUGUAACUGUUUCUAAAAGUUAAUGAAAGGGAGAAUACAAUAAAUAUUGAUAUUUAUAACAUAGAAAUGUGCUUGCCGCUUCCGCAUUGAUAGUGAUUUGUUAAAUCACCAAGCAAGCACCUACACUAUAACAAAUGUUUUCUACAUGUAAAAUAAAACUUGAUUCAUUAUCUG
ensembl:lncRNA